AACGCUGGCGGCGCGCUUAACACAUGCAAGUCGAGCGAGAACCGGUCCCUCGGGACCGGGGACAGCGGCGAACGGGUGAGUAACACGUGGGUAAUCUGCCCUCGAUUCUGGGAUAGCCCGGGGAAACCCGGAUUAAUACCGGAUAGCCUCUCGAGCUUUCGAGCUCGUGAGAAAAGGUAGCUUCGGCCUCCGAUCGAGGAUGAGCCCGCGGCGGAUUAGCUUGUUGGUGGGGUAACGGCCUACCAAGGCGACGAUCCGUAGCUGGUCUGAGAGGACGAUCAGCCACACUGGGACUGAGACACGGCCCAGACGCCUACGGGAGGCAGCAGUGGGGAAUCUUGCGCAAUGGGCGAAAGCCUGACGCAGCGACGCCGCGUGGGGGAAGAAGGCCUUCGGGCUGUAAACCUCUUUCAGCAGGGACGAAGCCACUCGGGUGAAUAGCCCAGAGGGUGACGGUACCUGCAGAAGAAGCCCCGGCUAACUACGUGCCAGCCGCCGCCGUAAUAC
rnacentral:rRNA from 1 species